GAGCACGUGGAGAAAUUGGUAAACUCGUGCGCUUCAGAAGCGCAUGCCGAAAGGCUUGGAGGUUCAAGUCCUCUCGUGCUCA
rnacentral:tRNA from 1 species